rnacentral:rRNA from 1 species
UACGAAGGGUGCAAGCGUUGUUCGGAAUUACUGGGCGUAAAGGGCGCGUAGGCGGCUUACCAAGUCCGGCGUGAAAUUCCCGGGCUCAACCUGGGGGCUGCGCUUGAUACUGGUGAGCUUGAAUGCGGGAGAGGAUAGUGGAAUUCCCAGUGUAGAGGUGAAAUUCGUAGAUAUUGGGAAGAACACCGGUGGCGAAGGCGGCUAUCUGGCCCGUAAUUGACGCUGAGGCGCGAAAGCGUGGGGAGCAAACAGG